CCCUUAGAUGUCCUGGGCCGCACGCGCGCUACACUGAUGCAUGCAACGAGUUUAUAACCUUGGCCUGAAAGGUCUGGGUAAUCUUUUGAACGUGCAUCGUGAUAGGGAUAGAUUAUUGCCAUUGUUAAUCUUGAACGAGGAAUUCCUAGUAAACGCGAGUCAUCAGCUCGCAUUGAUUACGUCCCUGCCCUUUGUACACACCGCCCGUCGCACCUACCGAUUGAAUGGUUCGGUGAAGAUCUCGGACUUCGAUAUUUAUUCUUUAUUGAGUUUAUAUUGUGGGAAGUUAUCUAAACCUCAUCAUUUAGAGGAAGGUGAAGUCGUAACA
rnacentral:rRNA from 1 species